GCCAGAGAACACCCCAGGGAGAAACAAGAGGUUUAGCUAGGGAAGGGCUGGAGAGUGCGUGUUGGGGGGUGGGUCGGGCUGAAGGGAGGCGCGGGGGAGAAAUAGGCUGGAAGCGGGCAGAUAGGGUCUGAGGGAAGCCCGGGCGCGGGGCUCCCAGCGCCCCAGGCUGACUACAGCUGUUCUGAGCGCGCUGGGGGAGCCCCCCCAUCUCUGGAGCCGGCGCGGGGAGACGGCUGCGUGGCGCUCCCCGCAGAGUCCAGCGUCAGCGUUGAGAGGGGCGGGCGGGGUGCGAGCCUGGAACACGUAGGGGCUGAGUGGGGCCGCGCCUAGGAACCUGGCCCUCUGCCGGGGACACGUGACCGCCUCCUUUCCCGCACGUCACCCAUCCAUCCCCCUUUUCGUAGAUCAGCCCCACGCCGUCACCUACUCACCCGGCUUUGAGCAGGCGCAGUAGCAGGGCUACGCGCUCUACCGCCCCCACUGUAGCCCAGGGAGUGGGAGGAUACUUCCGCCCCGCGGAAACGUCACUUCCACCUCCGUGCAUGGGCGUAGUCAGGCUAGGGCUGCUAGCUGAGGCAGCUGGCGCAGCUUCUACUCCCGCCCUAAUAGGUCACUUCCGCCCUUCUUCUGGGCCGGAGGCCGGGCCUAGGGCUGCCCGUGCACUCAGAGUUGUCGCCGCGUGGCCCCUCCGCAGCGUGGGAUCCCUCUGGCUCGGCGAGAAGUUCCUCCCACCACAUGCCUGCUGGGUGCAGAGGGUCUGAUCAGUGUGAGCUCACCAUCCUUCUCCAGGUGAGUGACCAGAGCGAUUCCUGGCUCCCUUCAGUAAAUGGGGAGGAGGGGAGCUCUGAGAUCUGUUCCCCAUUGACCCCAUGGGGGGAGGGGUGUAAUGGCUCCAUCCUGCCCUCUUGCGUGCAGAGGGGGUCCUGUCCCCUUUCAAUGGCUCCACAGAACCUAUUGGACGAAGCUCCCCCAUACCGAUUGGCUCUGGCACUGGGGGUGUGUGGAAAGGGAGGGGUGGGGACCACCAGCCAGGCUACAUAGCAGGCUGUGAUUUCGCUUUCCUAUUGGGGUAUCUGCCUCUCUGGCCAUUUUGGAAGAGGGGGAGAAGAUUCCUGGACUUGCAGCUAAUUUGGUGCCUGGCUUUGGGGAGAGUGAAAACAGAAACACAGGGAGCAGUAAGGGCCAGUUUCAAAGGGCAGCUCCACUCUGUGCACUGGGUCCCACAAAGGCCCCUCUAAGAAGUGGCAGAGGAGCAGCUCUCCAUUGUUCUUGGGUGCUGGACUGGGUCUCAGAACAGUUCUCAUGCCCAGCAAUCCACAGCCCCCAUGCUGGGCCUCCUGCAGUGUAGAGGGGUGAGCUGCCACUCAACUCUCUUCCUGAACCCUUCCCAUCAUUGUACAGACCCUCAGAGUCAUAGGGGGAGAGAGGCAGCUGCAUUGUGUGCUCAAACCCAGCUGGCUCUUCCACAAUGGUGGCGGCACAGCCCAGGGGCUGAUGAGCCGCAGGCGGGUCUUCAAGAGAGCAUCCAACAUAACUGGGCUGAUCUCUCACUGCUGCAGGCUUCUGCUCCUCAGAAGAAGCUCCAGUCUCAUCUGCUGCCAUGUUUCCUGGAGGGCCAUGCAGAUUGGUCCUAGCUCUCUUUUGGCUGGCACUCAGCACAGUCCACUCAGCAGCUAACUCUUCCCAGCUGUGCCCGACUCAGCAGCCAGGGCUCCUCUGUGCAGAUCCCAGUGAACAUUUCCAGAAGCAUGCCUGAAGUGUGUAAGAGAAACCACUACACUUCCCAGUGCGACAACAUCCUGGUACUAAACAGCCAGAAACCACAAUAUUUCAACAGCAGCUUUGAAGGCUACAUCACCUUGUCGGAUAAGUACUUCACUGUUGAGAACAUGAGCAAAUGGCUUGAAGGAGACUAUCAUAUUAAACACUGGAAUGGAAUCAUUACAGCAUCUGUCUCUCUGAUGAUGGCUGAUCCCACCCUAUUCUCGCCUUCCACACCAGGGAGCCCCAAGACUACUGAGAGAUCUGCCAAUGGGACUGCAGAAGGGAAGAAUUCAACAAACUCCACCCACUAUGCAUAUUUGGCUCUGUUAGUGAUGCCUUUUGUGAUAGGUGGUCGGGUGCUAUGGAAAUAUCUGAGACAGCACAAUCCAGAUGGACAUAGAUUCAGUCUCAUUAGCCGGAAGCAGCAGGUCCCAGAAGGAAUGAAUGGAUGUGCCCUCGCAAAUGGAGACACACAAAUGAAUGGACAUGCACGCACCAGUGAACAAGGCAAUGCCAGUGGAUGUCUGCACCUCAGUGAAUAUGGACAUAGUGAUGGACAUGGAUACACAAGUGUACAUGUACACACUGAUGGGCAUAUAUACCCCAAUGGACAUGGACACACCAGUGAACAUGGCCAUGCUACUGUGCCUCUCUCUCAGGGAGCUGGGGCUGAACUGCACAGGCUCUCUGGUGAGGAGAAUCCUCUACAAGCGGCGAUAACCCCUUCCUAGUACAUGAUGCACAUGGGGACAGACAGACAUCAUCUGCCUCAGCAAUGUGGCCCACAUGCAUUUUUUCCACACAAACGGUGCAGGGGCUGGUGCUGGUAACCUCAGUUUCUGACUUUCAAUUCACCACAGUGCCUGAUUCCUCCUUGCUGUGUCUUAUUACUGACUGUUUGUGAUGCCUGGUGCAGAUCUCCAAUCCCCUUCCAGGAAGGGCUGAGAUGUAUAUAAUUGGCAGAGACCUACAGCCCAAUUCUCACUUUAAUUCAGCCUGUGGUUGAGCAGGGACAAUCUGCAGACUUGGGUAGAUGUCCCGAUAUCAGUCACACUCAGGGCAGUUCCCCCCAAGGCUCUCUAAAGAUUCAGGCACAUGUUGCUGCAUUGGUUACACCCAGGGCAACUCCUGCCUCUCAGAGCAAUUGCCUCAGGCUCUCUGCAAACCCAGGAGCUGUCACUGCAUCAGCUACACUCAGGUCACAUUGUCAGAUAUUUCUCUGCAUCUGUGAGAGCUAGCAACAUAGUGGUGGUGUUUUAUUAAAGGUGGGAUUCUGCUGUAAUCACAUGACUCCAGAAGCUGGUGCCUUACUAGUAGAUUUAUAGUGCCUAUGCCUUUUAAUCCAGUCCUGGGCAGAGACUUGAUACCUCAACAAACACAUUCCCAUCUUCACCUUCAACGUGCUUGGUGUAUAUCUGUCUAUGUUCUCUUCUGAACAAAAUUUAACCAGUCCUAGCAAAGAGUAGCUUUGCCAAAGUUUGUUGCUGCUUUCUUUGGGUAAGACAGAAAUUUCUGAAGACCCUUGCUCACCCACACAAUAGGGCAUGGAGUUUAUCACAGUUUAAGAGGGAAUGUGUUUGGUCCCAACAUUAUUAAUACUGGGCUACAUACCAUAAAACAUGCUCCAUUGAUUACAUAUAUACCUUCUCUCAUAGUGUAAAGCCACACAGAGUCAUAUCACAAUGAACAAUAAAUACAGCGCAUGAGAGUCAUUUGCCAGCAACCUUCUGCCACAUUUUCUGGUCUUCCCACAGCCUAGAGAAACAUUCUGUACUGCAGUCUGUCCAUCCAGUCAGCCAUAUCAUAAACCACAUUCACCAUGGGCGCGCCCUGCCCUGGCAUCUGAUACUAGUCCCUGCAAUUUUCCUCUACUCAUCCAAACCACAUGUCCUGCAAACUCAAGUCUUCUUCAUCUGAUCAUCUGCCAUAUAUAAUAUUUAUUUUAUUUGUUAACAUUUAUUUUAGAAUAUUAUUAAUGUUAUUAAAUUGUGUAUUGCAUAUAAAUUAUUAUUGAUU